AAAGACUGAAUCUCCUCCAGAACUGUCUCCCCCUCUAAACUAGGCUAGUGGGUUUGUGCAUACAAGCAGCAAUGCUAAGAAUUCAUACUUUAAGAGAGGAGAGAUUUAAAGGAAACUUCGUGACAACAGAGCUGAGCUGAAAGUGGAUGUGUUUACAUGGAGGGUAGAGGAAAAUGACAGAUAUUCAACUUCAGCCUGGGAAGAGAAUGUGAAUGAUUUUGUUCUCCUGAAGGAUCAUGAAAAAGAUUAAUCCACGGGGCUUCUCUAUGACUAUCCCAGCACCCCAAGUGAAGUGGCUGCUUACAGCCUCUGUGACUGAAAAAGUGCAACAGCUCGGCUUGCUCUGUGGUCCAUAGAGAAGGUGCAGCCUUUAAGAGAAGGUAAGUGUCAUGGACUCGGAUCAUUUGUGGACACAGGCAAGGCUGAGACCACUAAGCAUAAUGUAUUACAUAUUUUUUUAGCAUCAGAUUGCCCUGAGAGGAUUUGUUCUUUCUGAUUUCCAAGCACAAAAAAAGAUAUCUGUAUUACACAAAGUUCAGAAAAGAUAAGAGGAAAAAAAAAAAACAAAAAAACAAAAAAAAAACAAACACCAGAGUGUCUCCGGGCUUCUCUACUGUGCCAUUCUCCUGUUACUGGUCAUUUUCAUGACUGGCUUCUACUAUUAUCUGCUCGAAAACUAAUAUU
rnacentral:lncRNA from 1 species